rnacentral:rRNA from 1 species
UACGUAGGGGGCGAGCGUUGUCCGGAUUUAUUGGGCGUAAAGAGCUCGUAGGCGGUUUGGUAAGUCGGGUGUGAAAUCUCCACGCUCAACGUGGAGGGGCCACUCGAUACUGCCAUGACUCGAGUCCGGUAGAGGAGUGUGGAAUUCCCGGUGUAGCGGUGAAAUGCGCAGAUAUCGGGAGGAACAUCAGUGGCGAAAGCGACUUCCUGGACCAAUACUGACGCUCAUGUGCGAAAGCGUGGGGAGCAAACAGG